rnacentral:lncRNA from 1 species
GUCUAGAAUUAAUUGCUUAGCAUAACUUGCUUAGCAUUAGUAGCUAAAUUUGCUGAAGCCUUAGGCCUCAGGCUGUGAACUUUUACUUAGAUAAGUAAAAGGGGGCCCCAGGGCCUGUUCAAGCUGAAGAGAUAAAGUUGCACGGACGGCAGGAGUAGCCAACCUUGAAGAUAAGAAGUAGCCUGCCUAGAGACAAUGAAGGGGCCCAGUGAAGAAGGGGAAGAACCCAGACCUAACUAUUACUAUUGGUCCAAACUAUCGCUUAAGGGGUGGGGAAUUUAGAUUGUAAGGGUAUAAUUGCCCAGGGAUUUCUUUGUUCGGGGUCCCUCUUUGGAGGCACCCAGCUCGAGCUGUAAUUACUGCACGUGUAUCAUUAAAUUUUAUUUCUCUCCAAUCUGACUUCGAACUUCUGCCUCAGCAGGAACCUAGGGUUGGACCCUGUUAUGGAGGCCGGCGAGCCUGAUUUUCCAUAACAUAAUGAUCUCUCUGUGAUUUAGAGGCUUCUGCUGUAUUAUAUCAAAGAAGAGGAGACCCUAUAUGCUGGAAUUGGGAUAGAAGCCAGCAGGGAAGUUUAAACCUUGGAAAAAUUUCAGAGUUGCCACUUUUUCCUACGUGUAAUGACAGAGGACAUAUUACUGCAUAUUUGCACAACUUAUUCACUAGCUGAAUACCAUCUUGUGAAAACUGUGCCUUCACUUUUGGAGAGCUUGACUCAAGGUGGGCGGGAAAAGAAAGGUGGAUAAACACAAUAGCUGUGCGGAGGAUGGCCUGAAAAUUGCUUCUGACUAAAUUGCAGUCACUGUUCCUGUUAAAAUGUGGCCAUUCGAAAAAAGCUAACUCAAACCCCAAUUUCAAAGAAUUAUAUUGAGGGAAUAUUUAUAGUUUGCCACAGAUGUCUGUAGCAUCUUGGGAAAUUUAGUAAAAAAUACACAAAAAUAAUAGGAGUACAAAUAUAUCACCUUGCAAAAGUUGGCUAUACUCUGUUAACACAUAAUGCCCUAGUAUAAAAUGUAUAGUUACCCACUGUUUUGACUAAUUGAAAAUAAAAGGGAAAAAAACCUUUGAGAGGGUUUUCUU